GACCCCGUAGCUCAGCGGAUAGAGUGCUACCCUCCGAAGGUAGAGGCCGUGAGUUCGAAUCUCACCGGGGUCGCCC
rnacentral:tRNA from 1 species